rnacentral:tRNA from 2 species
GCACCAUUAGCUCAGCUGGCAGAGCACCUGACUCUUAAUCAGGGUGUCCGCGGUUCGAACCCGCGAUGGUGUACCA